AAAUUGAAGAGUUUGAUCAUGGCUCAGAUUGAACGCUGGCGGCAGGCCUAACACAUGCAAGUCGAACGGUAGCACAGAGAGCUUGCUCUCGGGUGACGAGUGGCGGACGGGUGAGUAAUGUCUGGGAAACUGCCUGAUGGAGGGGGAUAACUACUGGAAACGGUGGCUAAUACCGCAUAACGUCGCAAGACCAAAGAGGGGGACCUUCGGGCCUCUUGCCAUCAGAUGUGCCCAGAUGGGAUUAGCUUGUUGGUGAGGUAACGGCUCACCAAGGCGACGAUCCCUAGCUGGUCUGAGAGGAUGACCAGCCACACUGGAACUGAGACACGGUCCAGACUCCUACGGGAGGCAGCAGUGGGGAAUAUUGCACAAUGGGCGCAAGCCUGAUGCAGCCAUGCCGCGUGUAUGAAGAAGGCCUUCGGGUUGUAAAGUACUUUCAGCGGGGAGGAAGGUGUUGUGGUUAAUAACCGCAGCAAUUGACGUUACCCGCAGAAGAAGCACCGGCUAACUCCGUGCCAGCAGCCGCGGUAAUACGGAGGGUGCA
rnacentral:rRNA from 1 species